GACGAACGCUGGCGGCGUGCUUAACACAUGCAAGUCGAACGAAGUGGCGAACGGGUGAGUAACGCGUAAUCAACCUGCCCUUCAGAGGGGGACAACAGUUGGAAACGACUGCUAAUACCGCAUACUGCAGUAGGGGAUUGCGUCUGAUUAGUUAGUUGGAGGGGUAACGGCCCACCGAGGCGAUGAUCAGUAGCCGGUCUGAGAGGAGGAACGGCCACAUUGGGACUGAGACACGGCCCAGACGCCUACGGGAGGCAGCAGUGGGGAGGCGUCCGCAAUGGACGAAAGUCUGACGGAGCAACGCCGCGUGAGUGAUGACGGCCUUCGGGUUGUAAAGCUCUGUUAAUCGGGACGCGGUACCGGAAUAGAAAGCCACGGCUAACUACGGGCCAGCCGCCGCGGUAAUAC
rnacentral:rRNA from 1 species